GUAUAGAACCUACCUUAUAUUGGGGGAUAGCCCAGAGAAAUUUGGAUUAAUACCCCAUGGUAUGUUGAAGUGGCAUCACUUUAAUAUUAAAGAUUUAUCGAUAUAAGAUGGCUAUGCGUUCUAUUAGCUAGUUGGUUAGGUAACGGCUAACCAAGGCUACGAUAGAUAGGGGUCCUGAGAGGGAGAUCCCCCACACUGGUACUGAGACACGGACCAGACUCCUACGGGAGGCAGCAGUGAGGAAUAUUGGACAAUGGAGGCAACUCUGAUCCAGCCAUGCCGCGUGCAGGAAGACUGCCCUAUGGGUUGUAAACUGCUUUUAUAGAGGAAGAAACCGCUCUACGUGUAGAGCUCUGACGGUACUCUACGAAUAAGGAUCGGCUAACUCCGUGCCAGCAGCCGCGGUAAUACGGAGGAUCCAAGCGUUAUCCGGAAUCAUUGGGUUUAAAGGGUCCGUAGCGGGCUUGUAAGUCAGUGGUGAAAGUUUGCGGCUCAACCGUAAAAUUGCCAUUGAUACUGCAGGUCUUGAAUCAUUAUGAAGUGGUUAGAAUAUGUAGUGUAGCGGUGAAAUGCAUAGAUAUUACAUAGAAUACCGAUUGCGAAGCAGAUCACUAAUAAUGUAUUGACGCUAAGGGACGAAAGCGUGGGUAGCGAACAGGAUUAGAUACCCUGGUAGUCCACGCCGUAAACGAUGGUUACUAGCUGUUCGGUUUUCGGACUGAGUGGCUAAGCGAAAGUGAUAAGUAACCCACCUGGGGAGUACGUUCGCAAGAAUGAAACUCAAAGGAAUUGACGGGGGCCCGCACAAGC
rnacentral:rRNA from 1 species